GAUGAACGCUAGCGAUAGGCCUAACACAUGCAAGUCGAGGGGCAUCACAUGAAGUAGCAAUACGGAUGGUGGCGACCGGCGCACGGGUGAGUAACACGUAUGCAACCUGCCUUCAACAAGGGGAUAACCCGUUGAAAGACGGACUAAUACCCUAUAACACAGGGGUCCCGCAUGGGAAUAUUUGUUAAAGGACAACCGGUUGAAGAUGGGCAUGCGUUCCAUUAGCUAGUUGGCGGGGUAAGGCCCACCAAGGCAACGAUGGAUAGGGGAACUGAGAGGUUUAUCCCCCACACUGGUACUGAGACACGGACCAGACUCCUACGGGAGGCAGCAGUGAGGAAUAUUGGUCAAUGGACGCAAGUCUGAACCAGCCACGUCGCGUGAAGGAAGACGGCCCUACGGGUUGUAAACUUCUUUUAUACGGGAAUAAAGUGCCCCACGCGUGGGGUUUUGCAUGUACCGUAUGAAUAAGGAUCGGCUAACUCCGUG
rnacentral:rRNA from 1 species